rnacentral:rRNA from 1 species
UACGUAGGGGGCAAGCGUUAUCCGGAAUUACUGGGUGUAAAGGGAGCGUAGACGGUGAUGUAAGUCUGGAGUGAAAGGCGGGGGCCCAACCCCCGGACUGCUCUGGAAACUAUAUGACUGGAGUGCAGGAGAGGUGAGCGGAAUUCCUAGUGUAGCGGUGAAAUGCGUAGAUAUUAGGAGGAACACCAGUGGCGAAGGCGGCUCACUGGACUGUAACUGACGUUGAGGCUCGAAAGCGUGGGGAGCAA